rnacentral:rRNA from 1 species
UACGUAGGAGGCAAGCGUUGUCCGGAAUACUGGGCGUAAAGCGUGCGCAGGCGGUUUUGUAAGUCAGAUGUGAAAUCCCCGGGCUUAACCUGGGAACUGCGUUUGAAACUACAAGGCUAGAGUGUGGCAGAGGGGGGUGGAAUUCCACGUGUAGCAGUGAAAUGCGUAGAGAUCCGGAGGAACACCGAGUGGCGAAAGCGGCCACCUGGACUGUACCUGACGCUGAAACGCGAAAGCUAGGGGAGCGGAACGGG